GUCAGUGAUGAAAACCUGGAAUAGGAAGUGCCGUCUGAUGCGAUGUUUCUCAUCCAAUUUUCUGAGA